rnacentral:rRNA from 1 species
UCGAAAGCUUGCUUUUGAUGGGCGUCGACCGGCGCACGGGUGAGUAACGCGUAUCCAACCUGCCCAUCACUUGGGGAUAACCUUGCGAAAGUAAGACUAAUACCCAAUGAUAUCUCUAGAAGACAUCUGAAAGAGAUUAAAGAUUUAUCGGUGAUGGAUGGGGAUGCGUCUGAUUAGCUUGUUGGCGGGGUAACGGCUCACCAAGUCGACGAUCGGUAGCCGGACUGAGAGGUUGAACGGCCACAUUGGGACUGAGACACGGCCCAGACUCC